rnacentral:sRNA from 1 species
UGAGCCGCGGGGGUGGUACUGCUGCAUCCGGGUGUCUGGAGGCCGUGGUCGUUUUGUUUUCUUGGCUAAAAUCGGGGUAGUGAGGCGAGCCGGCGCGGCGCGACACCGGGCUCCGGAACCACUGCACGACGGGGCUGGACUGACCUGAAAAAAAUGUCUGGAUUUCUAGAGGGCUUGAGAUGCUCAGAAUGCAUUGACUGGGGGGAAAAGCGCAAUACUAUUGCUUCCAUUGCUGCUGGUGUACUAGAUUAAUGCAGUAUCGAAUGGACAAGUCCGAGGUGAUAGUUACAGUGAAGGUUGUCUGGGUCAAACAGGUGCUCGCAUUUGGCUUUUCAUUGGUUUCAUGUUGGCCUUUGGAUCUCUGAUUGCAUCUAUGUGGAUUCUUUUUGGAGGUUAUGUUGCUAAAGAAAAAGACAUAGUAUACCCUGGAAUUGCUGUAUUUUUCCAGAAUGCCUUCAUCUUUUUUGGAGGGCUGGUUUUUAAGUUUGGCCGCACUGAAGACUUAUGGCAGUGAACACAUCUGAUUUCCCACAGCACAACAGCCCUGCAUGGGUUUGUUUGUUUUUUUACUGCUCACUCCCAACCUUUUGUAAUGCCAUUUUCUAAACUUAUUUCUGAGUGUAGUCUCAGCUUAAAGUUGUGUAAUACUAAAAUCAUGAGAACACCUAAACAACAACCAAAAAUCUAUUGUGGUAUGCACUUGAUUAACUUAUAAAAUGUUAGAGGAAACUUUCACAUGAAUAAUUUUUGUCAAAUUUUAUCAUGGUAUAAUUUGU